rnacentral:rRNA from 1 species
GUUAGGAAUAUUGGACAAUGGGCGCAAGCCUGAUCCAGCCAUGUCGCGUGAGUGAUGAAGGCCUUCGGGUUGUAAAGCUCUUUAGUCCACGAAUAUAAUGACUGUAGUGGAAGAAUAAGCCCCGGCUAACUUCGUGCCAGCAGCCGCGGUAAUACGAAGGGGCGAGCGUUAUUCGGAAUCACUGGGCGUAAAGCGUGCGUAGGCUGUUUUGUAAGUCAGAAGUGAAAGCCCAGGGCUUAACCCUGGAAUUGCUUUUGAAACUACAAGACUCGAAUUCGGGAGAGGAUAGCGGAAUUGUCAGUGUAGCAGUGAAAUGCGUAGAUAUUGACAGGAACACCAGUGGCGCAAGCGGCUAUCUGGACCGAUAUUGACGCUGAGGCACGAAAGCGUGGGGAGCAAACAGGAUUAGAAACCCCAGUAGUCC